GCCCCCAUCGUAUAGUGGCCUAAUACACACCCCUUUCACGGGUGCAACAGGGAUUCGAAUUCCCUUGGGGGUA
rnacentral:tRNA from 1 species